UAAAACAAAGUUAUUUAUUUGUAUCUGUUGUGAGGGUUUUUGAGACAAGGUUGGCCUUGACUCCUAAUCCUCUCGCUUCUACCACGGUGCCAGGUGCUCAUCCUCCCCACCCCAUUAUCCUGCUGUUUUGUGUUCUUCGUGUAUGACUUCAAGCAAGCCUCAUAUUUGAAAUCUAUAAGAAUAGCAUAAUUUAGCUUUGGAAACAACUAUUACUGGCAUGGGGAAAUUCACACUGUAGAAACGUAACUGCAAGACCUGGGGCUGGCAACACGAUUCUCUGUGGGGUGGUUCAGGAAUCAGUGUGUAUAUGGGACUCAAAUCCUGGUUUUCCCCUUUCACUUUACAGCUUAGGCAGAUGGGCUGGAGGGAUAGAUAGGGUUAAGAUCACUGGUGGUUCUUGCAGUUCAGUUUCCAGCACCCACAUGGUAGUUUACAACUUUGGUGGUUAGAAUGAAAAUGGCCCCACAGGCUCAUAGGGACUGCCCAUUGGGAGGUAUGGCCUUGUUGGAAGAAGUAUGUCACUGGGGCCGGCUGUGAGGUCUCAGAAGCUCAAGUCAGGCCUAGUAUAGCUCUCAAUCUUUUCCUGCUGCUUGCAGAUCCAGAUGUAGAGCUCUUAGCUACCUCUCCAUCACCAUGUCUGCCUACAUGCCACCGUGCUUCCCAUCAUGAUGAAAAUGGACUGAACCUUUGAACUGAUCCAGAGGAGGAAGCCUGCUCCUAUAUCAAGGGAGAGCUGCCUGGCGACCUAGGCACUGGAUACUCAAGGCUCUUGAGGGGAAGUAGGUCAGUGGGUUCAUGGCAGGGGUGGGGAGGAAAAAAUGGGCCUUGUUUGCCUGUCUGGAAAACUGAAACACCUUAGAAAGCAGGUCCAAAGAUUGAAUGUUUUGAAACUAUGACCCAGCCUUGGCCUGUUUGUUUGAACUGAGCAUGGCCAACUUGAUGGUGAACCUGGCUGGUCUCCCCCAGCAGUUUCAGAGGGUUACAUCAUUGGAUUUCCAUAUGCAGGUCAUGUCCUCUCCAGUGCCAAGGAAUGUGUGGAUUUGCAAUAUUGCUUCUACAAACUCUCUUAUCACACCAUUGCGCAUUGCAGCCCGAAUGUUAAACAAAUCAAUCAAUCAAUAGAUGUUGGCUUCACAUUUUGUACAGACCAGUUGAACAGACACACAGACAAAGUCUCCUGACUACUCCACAGUCUCCCUGUAGCCAGGUGACACCCUGCCAACACUUCCUCCUCCUGGACACAGGCUCACCUGAAGAGACAGGUCAAACCCCUCGCUCAGGAGGGCUGUGCUUGCAGUCAUGGCAGUUUCCAGGCCUUGUCUAAGUGUCCUGGAGGCAAACCUAGACACGACUGGGUGCUUCCCGGAAGCAGAGGACUGAUCUAAGUUCACCUAGUGAAAACAGCUCCCAGAGCUGUUCUGUGGGCCACGUAGAGGAAUGGAUAAACAAGGGCGUGAGCGGGCUUUAAUACACAAGGAAUGGGUGCCAGACUUGGUGUUCAGACAGUAGCAUCUUGGGCUUUUUAAUCCAAAACCAGAACAUUAAAUCCCUUGAAUGUGUUUCCUAGCCUCUCGCCCAUCUUCCUGUGAGUGCUCCCUUCCAGUGCUCCCUUCUGGUACCCUCCAAAGUGUUUGUUAGGAAGUCUCCUGUGCCUUCUUGCUCUUCUGGAAACCACCUGGAGCAGCCACCCCAAAAAGCUUGUUUUGUAAUGGUGCGCUUCUGAGUUUCUGUGGUUUCAGUUUCUAUUUCUGUCUCUGACUGUUGUAACUUUUCUAUCUCUUUAGACCUUUUAUGGGUAGUUUUGGGUUUCCCAGGCAUUUGUACUCUGCCCAUCAUGUCAGCUACGUAAACUGUUGACAAAGGUAUGGCAAAAUCCCGCUUUCAUUAUUGACCCCGGAAAAACGUCUGUGAAAGACCAGAACUCAAGCUGGGUGUGCUGGCACAUGUCUGUAAUCCCCUCACUUGGGAAACCGAGACCAGAGACUCUAAUGUGAGUUUCGAGAUAGUGAACUCCAGGCCAGGCUGAGCUACAUAGUAUGACAUGAGACCCUGGCUCAGAAUAAAAUAAAGGAGUGUAAUCAAAUGCCACACCUCUAGGAGUCGAUAAAAGGUUUGACCUUGUAUUGAUUGGCCACUUGCAAUUCUCAAACAUGAGAUUUCGUCAAGGGAGUUUCCCUUGUCUGAGAUGUUGACCCAUAAUGCAAUACAGACAGCACAAUGGCAGUCUCCAUUCUCCUGUGUCAGCCCUGGCUCUUUGCCGAUGAUGACAGUCACCAUUAUGUUCUUUCCAGUUUUAUUUUGUCUCUGAACGUCAGACAUAAUUCAUUCAGAACUUAAAACAUUUGUGCAGAGCAGUGGUGGCACACACCUUUGAUCUCAGCACUCGGGAGGCAGAGGAAGGUGGAUCUCAAGGCCAGGCCGGUCUACAGAGCAAGUUCCAGGACAGCCAGGACUGUUACACAGAGAAACCUUGUCUCAAAAAACAAAAAAUCCAAAACCAAAACAAAAAAAUCAAAACAUUUGCCUAAUGAUUUACAGGUUCCAUUGUUUCCAUCUACAUUAUUUAAAUUUGUCACCACAGUUUAUUCAGUGAAAUCAUGUAGCUAUUAUCGCUCCCAUUUUAUAGGUCAGAAAACUAAUGUCUUCUGGUGAGCAAGUAACAGAACUCCACAAAGAAAACAGGUGGUAUGUGUACUAGUCCAGGAUUCUUUUCAUACCACAAGACUGACUCCAAUGGGAGCUGGGGGAGUAGUGUAAUGUAAAGUGUGAUGCUUGCCUAGCAUGGAGGAGGCCCUGGGUUUUAUCCCCAGCAGUCCAUAAAUGGGGUGUGGUGUCUCACACCUACAAUACUAGCAUUCAGGAGGUAAAAAUAAAUAAAUAAACCAGGAAUUCAAGGUUUCCCUUGGCUACAUAGCAAGUUUCGGGCCAACCUGGAAUACAUGAGACCCUUUCCCAAAACAGGGACAAAUAAAUAAGCCCCAUCAUAUGGCGAUGAUUCACCAGCUUCAGAUAUAUCAGAAUCUUCCGGAGGUCUGUGACCACAUAGAUUGCUGGUAUUCGUGCCAUAACCCCAGCAUUUCUGAUUCAGUAGCUCUAAGGUAGGGUCUGAAAAGGUUCUCAUUCACAUCCUCUGCUUUCUCCCUUGCCUCCCUCAUCUCAGCCCCCCUUGCAGCUAGGGGAGGUCAUCUAACCUAGUUCUGGUCAAUGAGAUGUCAGAAGUUUUCAGGGAAAACCUUGUGCUGGAUUAGUGUUGGAAAUGUAGCUCAGUUGUCUAGCGUGGGCAAAACCCAGAGUUUGAUCCUGAAUACUGAAACAAAAAAGGAAGGAAGGCGGGAUUAACAUUGGUCCAGCAGGGUCUUUUCAGGUUCUUGGCCUCUUAUUCAAAAGUUCACACAAAUAUGCAAAGUAGCAAGGGGAUUUUCUUCAAAGAAAAACGGUGGCAGAGAUGUGAUACACUGUCAGGAGUAAUGGUGGUAUAUGUGAGUGAAACAACUCAGGGCACCAGGUUACUGCCUGGUGCCAUUUUAAAUGUUUUAUGUCUCCCAAAGGUGAGAGCACACCCGACUGACAUCUUGAAGGAAUCAUAGAACCAAUGUGGCUGGAGCUGAGUCAGCAAAGAAGCUUGAGUUGGGCAGACCCAACAAGAACAGCUGCCUCGCCGCCGAGUCACCUGCCUCCACAGCUGGAGCCACUCUGAGCACACCUUCCCGUGGUGGAUUCUACCCUCCAGCUGUGAGCCAGAAGGAACCCUUUCUUCUUUCAGUUGCUUUUGUGAGGUAUUUUGUCACAGCAGUGAGGAAAGGAACUGCUUGGGAUUCCUGUUGGACAGCCAAGAGGAGGUGCCACAUCAGAAGCUGGUAUCUGGAGGGCCGGGGCAGGGGUCCAGGUUGGCAGUAGAAACUGGGUGGGGUCAAAUCAAAGUCCCGAGCUAGAUCAGCUGUUGCCUAGGGCAUUAAAAGAGAUGAGAAGACAUAUUUGGACUGAGCCCAGGAGCCCUUAGAACCUUUGGAAAUGGGGAAAUGGGAGUGAUUCUGUGAAGGGGAGCGUUGGACAAGAAAGGGCAGAUCAUUCUGCUGAAGCCACCUUGUGUUUUUAGGGUCACUUCUCAAAAAGAAGAGGAGGAGGAGGAGGGAAAAAGUCUUAAGUUGUGAAAAAUAUUUGUACCAACAAACAAAUACUCUAACAUUGAAAUUCAGACCAAGAAAGACGUUAGGAUUAAGACAAAGGCUAGGGAUUUUAUGGUGAGAAAGAAUACAAAUUAAUGUGAAAAAUACUUAGACCCUAACAGGAAACAGACAAAGGAUAUGAAUAGAAAGUUCACAAAGAAGGAAAUAAAACUAGUAAACAAAGGUUUAGAAAACAUUUGACAUCAUCAACAAGGAAAGAAAUACAGAUUAAAACUACAAGAUGAUAUGUUUUCAACCAUUAAAUGAACAAAAGGCUUUUCAUGCCAUUUUACCCAGUAAUUCCAGUUCAGGGAAAUCUAAGAAACUAAGUGAAAAUGUGAAUGAAAAAAUUGAUCACAAUUUUAUCCACAAUAAUAGAAAAUAAUUCCAAUGCUAGCACUGAGAGACUAGCUUAGAAAAUUGUGGCAUAGUCAUACUAUUGCCUGUGGUGAUUUGAAUGCAAAUGGUGGCCCCAGAGGCUCAUGUGUUUGAAUGCUUAGUCACCAGGGAGUGGCACUACUUCUAAGGAUUAAAAGGAUCGGAAGGUGUGGCCUUGCUGGAGUAGGUGUGGUCUUAUUGGAGGAAGUUUGUCACUGGGCUUUAAGAUUUCAAAGCCCAUGCCAGGCCCAGCUUUUCUCUCUCUGCCGGCCUGCAGAUGAGGAUGUGAACUCUCAGCUACUGCUCCAGCAUGUGUGCUGCCGUGCUCCCCACCAUGAGGAUAAUGUACUAAGCCACUAACUGUAAACAAGCCCCCACUUAAAUGCUUCCCUUUUUAAGAGUUGCCUCAGCCAUAGUGUGUCUUCACAGCAACAGAACAGUGACUUAAGACUUUACUAAAUUAUUAAUAUUAAACUACAGAGAUGUAUAAAAUAUCUUGGAAGAAUUUAUGGUAAUGGGAAAAUGUAUAUAUUGUGUUAAUCUGUAAGAAGGAUUGGGGUUGUGUAGAUGACUCAGGUGCUAAGUGCCCAUCACAUAGCGUGAACACUCUCACUAGAGCCCACAUAGAACUAAAAAGCCAGGAGAAAAGGGAAACCAGUACGUGUUUACCCAUAGUCACACAGGAAGGCAUUCUUUCCUGCAGGGCCCCUUUAUAGAGCCCUGUACUGAGUAUUGGGAGUACAAAGAUGACUCAGAAAGUUCUGCUCUGGGUCUAACUGAAAUUUGAAAACUGAUCUGCCUUUAGCCUCCCAAACUUGAACAUGCUGAUCUCAUCUGAAAAACUGUUCCUCAGAAGUAAAUAAUAAAGUCUGAAAGAUGUAAAUAUAACUGGGGUCUAAAAAGAACACAGCAAAAUGAAGCUCAGUUUAAGGUGGCAGCUGGCUGCACAGCUGGGCCUCACGUGUCCCUGCUCAUGUCUGCACCCUCUGCUGAGUCCUUGGAGAGCCCCCUAUAGGAGUGAAGGUGGCCCUGGCCCUCCAGGGCAGGAAGUCAAGGCUGGGGGGGUGCGUGUAGGUCCAUGGUAUAGUACUUACUGGACAGGUUUGAGUAAGGUGCUAAGUCAGUGUUCUAUUGCUGUGAACAGACACCAUGACCAAGGCAACUCUUAGAAAAGAAAGCAUUUGACUGGGGACUUGCUUACAGGUUUAGAGGGUUAGUCCAUGGUCAUCAUGGCAGGCAGCAGACAGGCACGGCGCUGGAGCACUGGCUGAGAGCUUCACAUCCUGAUCUGUAGGCAGCAGAUAGAGAGAAACACUGGGCCUGGUAUAGGCUUUUGAAACCUCGAAGGCCACCCCCAGUGACACACCUUCUCCAACAAGGGCACACCUACUCCUUCCCAAACAGCUCAUGGGAGUAAGCACCACAAAGACCUGAGUACCAGAGAGGUGGGGGGGAGGGAGGGAGGGUAA